rnacentral:rRNA from 1 species
CCUACGGGGGGCUGCAGUGAGGAAUAUUGGUCAAUGGGCGCUAGCCUGAACCAGCCAAGUAGCGUGAAGGAUGACUGCCCUAUGGGUUGUAAACUUCUUUUAUAUGGGAAUAAAGUGCAGUAUGUAUACUGCUUUGCAUGUACCUUAUGAAUAAGGAUCGGCUAACUCCGUGCCAGCAGCCGCGGUAAUACGGAGGAUUCGAGCGUUAUCCGGAUUUAUUGGGUUUAAAGGGAGCGUAGGCGGGUUGUUAAGUCAGUUGUGAAAGUUUGCGGCUCAACCGUAAAAUUGCAGUUGAUACUGGCAGCCUUGAGUACAGUAGAGGUAGGCGGAAUUCGUGGUGUAGCGGUGAAAUGCUUGGAUAUCACGAAGAACUCCGAUUGCGAAGGCAGCCUGCUGGACUGUAACUGACGCUGAUGCUCGAAAGUGUGGGUAUCAAACAGGAUUAGAUACCCCAGUAGUC